UUCCGUAGGGUAACCUGCGGAGGGAUCAUUACCGAGUUUACAACUCCCAAACCCCUGUGAACAUACCUUUAUGUUGCCUCGGCGGAUCAGCCCGCGCCCCGUAAAACGGGACGGCCCGCCGCAGGAACCACAAAACUCUGAUUUUAGUGUAACUUCUGAGUCUAAAAAACAAAUAAAUCAAAACUUUCAACAACGGAUCUCUUGGUUCUGGCAUCGAUGAAGAACGCAGCAAAAUGCGAUAAGUAAUGUGAAUUGCAGAAUUCAGUGAAUCAUCGAAUCUUUGAACGCACAUUGCGCCCGCCAGUAUUCUGGCGGGCAUGCCUGUUCGAGCGUCAUUUCAACCCUCAAGCCCCCGGGUUUGGUGUUGGGGAUCGGGCUGUACUCCAGCCCGGCCCCGAAAUCUAGUGGCGGUCUCGCUGCAGCCUCCAUUGCGUAGUAGCUAACACCUCGCAACUGGAACGCGGCGCGGCCAAGCCGUUAAACCCCCAACUUCUGAAUGUUGACCUCGGAUCAGGUAGGAAUACCCGCUGAACUUAAGCAUAUCAAUAAGCCGGAGGAA
rnacentral:rRNA from 1 species